GUAGAACAGUCUCUUGUUGGUGUUGAACAAUCUGCUCUACAAAGUUUGACUGGUUUAGCCACAGAUAAAUUGAAUAGCCUCAUCGGUAAACUCGGAAAGCGAAACAUCUUCAAAGAUUUGUUGAGUGGAGUAGAACAGUCUCUUGUUGGUGUUGAACAAUCUGCUCUACAAAGUUUGACUGGUUUGGCUA